CGACUCCGAGAAGCACAACGCGCCGCCACACAUAUUCCUGCAGCUGGAGAUUCUAAGUCCAUCAUCACGUGUCGGGUGUCCCUUCUGGAUGGUACUGAUGUUAGUGUGGACUUACCAAAAAAAGCCAAAGGACAAGAGUUGUUUGAUCAGAUUAUGUACCACCUGGACCUUAUUGAAAGCGACUAUUUUGGUCUGAGAUUUAUGGAUUCAGCACAAGUAGCACAUUGGUUGGAUGGUACAAAAAGCAUCAAAAAGCAAGUAAAAAUUGGUUCACCCUAUUGUCUGCAUCUUCGAGUUAAGUUUUAUUCCUCAGAACCAAAUAACCUUCGUGAGGAGCUAACCCGGUAAGAACACUAUCUAGAAUUGUGCCAGGGGUAUUUUGAUAGUUUUGAAAGACUGUCUUUAUAUUGUUUCCAAUUUAUAGCCAGCUAAUAAAAUGGAUUCCUGUCCCCUGGUAACAAGACCUCAAAUAAUAGAAUUUUAUUUGGGAUGUGUUUUUUAAGUGUAUGAUUCUUUUCCUUUAUCAUUUUCAAAAUGAAGAGUUGGUUCCUUAGCAUCCUCCAAA
rnacentral:sRNA from 1 species